rnacentral:misc_RNA from 1 species
GAUGAAGCGUAGCGAAAUGCGAUAAGUAAUGUGAAUUGCAGAAUUCAGUGAAUCAUCGAAUCUUUGAACGCACAUUGCGCCCCCUGGUAUUCCGGGGGGCAUGCCUGUCCGAGCGUCAUUACAACCCUCAAGCUCAGCUUGGUGUUGGGCCCCGCCGCCCCGGCGGGCCCUAAAGUCAGUGGCGGUGCCGUCCGGCUCCGAGCGUAGUAAUUCUUCUCGCUCUGGAGGUCCGGUCGUGUGCUCGCCAGCAACCCCCAAUUUUUUUCAGGUUGACCUCGGAUCAGGUAGGGAUACCCGCUGAACUUAAGCAUAUCAAUAAGCGGAGGA